AUUUAACGCUGGCGGCCGGCCUAACACAUGCCAGUCGAGCGAGCGGCGGACGGGUGAGUAAUGUAUGGGGACUGCCCGAUAGAGGGGGAUAACUACUGGAAACGGUGGCUAAUACCGCAUACUAUCGGAUCAACCAUCUGGGAUUAGCUAGUAGGUGGGGUAAAGGCUCACCUAGGCGACGAUGCCUAGCUGGUCUGAAGGGAUGAUCGGCCACACUGGGACUGAGACACGGCCCAGACUCCUACGGAGGCAGCAGUGGGGAAUAUUGCACAAUGGGCGCAAGCCUGAUGCAGCCAUGCCGCGUGUAUGAAGAAAGCCUUAGGGUUGUAAAGUACUUUCAUCGGGGAGGCGUUACCCGCAGAAGAAGCACCGGCUAACUCCGUGCCAGCAGCCGCGGUAAUAC
rnacentral:rRNA from 1 species